rnacentral:tRNA from 1 species
UCCCUGAUAGCUCAGUUGGUAAAGAAUCUGCCUGCAAUGCAGGAGACCUUGGUUCAAUUCCUGUCAGGAAG